UGGGGAAUUUUGGACAAUGGGGGGAAACCCUGAUCCAGCCAUCCCGCGUGUGCGAUGAAGGCCUUCGGGUUGUAAAGCACUUUUGGCAGGAAAGAAACGUCGCGGGUUAAUACCCCGCGAAACUGACGGUACCUGCAGAAUAAGCACCGGCUAACUACGUGCCAGCAGCCGCGGUAAUACGUAGGGUGCAAGCGUUAAUCGGAAUUACUGGGCGUAAAGCGUGCGCAGGCGGUUCGGAAAGAAAGAUGUGAAAUCCCAGAGCUUAACUUUGGAACUGCAUUUUUAACUACCGGGCUAGAGUGUGUCAGAGGGAGGUGGAAUUCCGCGUGUAGCAGUGAAAUGCGUAGAUAUGCGGAGGAACACCGAUGGCGAAGGCAGCCUCCUGGGGAUAACACUGACGCUCAUGCACGAAAGCGUGGGGAGCAAACAGGAUUAGAUACCCUGGUAGUCCACGCCCUAAACGAUGUCAACUAGCUGUUGGGGCCUUCGGGCCUUGGUAGCGCAGCUAACGCGUGAAGUUGACCGCCUGGGGAGUACGGUCGCAAGAUUAAAACUCAAAGGAAUUGACGGGGUCAUAGCUG
rnacentral:rRNA from 1 species